AGUAUUCAUUUUAUGCAUUUCCACCUUUUAGUAUCUUUCUAAAAGUUUAAAAAGAUUCAAAAAGACAAGGCAACAGGACUGCUAGUGAUUCCAAACUGGCCGACUCAGUCUUGGUGGCCCAAAUUGAUGAGAAUGUUACUCCAGGAGCCAAUUUAGCUGCCAGUGGCAAAGUGUUUGUCGACUCAACCCAGCCAACCAAGCUUGGUUCAUCCACUAUAUCCAAAGCUGGUUCUACUGCUAUGUCAAAUCUCGGGGGAUUCUCCAUCACCGUGUACUUUCAGGCCGGGCUGCCAAAUUGGUCCUGCACUCUUGGAGAGAAAGUACACAAAAACAAUACGACCCGUAUAUCAAACGAUGGCACCUAUACUCUGGUGAAAAGCAAGUUGAUACAAUUUCGGCAACUGUAGAAAAUGGAAUGAAUUUUUUGUCAGAAUUGUUGCAGACUGGUAUUGUUAUAGUGUCCUUAUUACGGAACGUCAAAAAGAGCGGAAACAGCAAACCAGAUGAAACGGUUAAUACCGCCAUAUGAAACCGCUAACUUGCGGGCUCAUACUGAGGUCAAUGGCAAUCCACUGUAGGGAAACCUCUGGAACAAUCGUAGUAACGGAACAAGCAUAGGGAAACCUUUAUCACUUGUGAUUUGUGAACUUUGGGUGGUCGGGUAAGGAUACUUAAAACACGGGAGCUAUAUUUGCUGGGACGCUUAAAACCCUAAUGAUUUAAGUACUGGGAUACGCAAAACAUGAGGAUACAUCAUAUCACUUUGACACAGUGAUUGAGACAUUUAACUAAAAUACAUCUGGAACAAUAACUUCUAUAGUUUUGUCCCAUGACUGGCUGAAGCAAAAAAUACAUCUAAAUUU